UUACUGAGUUUACGCUCUACAACCCUUUGUGAACAUACCUAUAACUGUUGCUUCGGCGGGUAGGGUCUCCGUGACCCUCCCGGCCUCCCGCCCCCGGGCGGGUCGGCGCCCGCCGGAGGAUAACCAAACUCUGAUUUAACGACGUUUCUUCUGAGUGGUACAAGCAAAUAAUCAAAACUUUUAACAACGGAUCUCUUGGUUCUGGCAUCGAUGAAGAACGCAGCGAAAUGCGAUAAGUAAUGUGAAUUGCAGAAUUCAGUGAAUCAUCGAAUCUUUGAACGCACAUUGCGCCCGCCAGCAUUCUGGCGGGCAUGCCUGUUCGAGCGUCAUUUCAACCCUCAAGCUCUGCUUGGUGUUGGGGCCCUACAGCUGAUGUAGGCCCUCAAAGGUAGUGGCGGACCCUCCCGGAGCCUCCUUUGCGUAGUAACUUUACGUCUCGCACUGGGAUCCGGAGGGACUCUUGCCGUAAAACCCCCAAUUUUCCAAAGGUUGACCUCGGAUCAGGUAGGAAUACCCGCUGAACUUAAGCAUAUCAAUAAGCGGAGGAAAAGAAACCAACAGGGAUUGCCUCAGUAACGGCGAGUGAAGCGGCAACAGCUCAAAUUUGAAAUCUGGCCCUAGGCCCGAGUUGUAAUUUGCAGAGGAUGCUUUUGGUGCGGUGCCUUCCAAGUUCCCUAGAACGGGACGCCAGAGAGGGUGAGAGCCCCGUACAGUUGGACACCAAGCCUUUGUAAAGCUCCUUCGACGAGUCGAGUAGUUUGGGAAUGCUGCUCAAAAUGGGAGGUAUAUUUCUUCUAAAGCUAAAUACCGGCCAGAGACCGAUAGCGCACAAGUAGAGUGAUCGAAAGAUGAAAAGCACUUUGAAAAGAGGGUUAAACAGCACGUGAAAUUUGUUAAAAGGGAAGCGCUUGUGACCAGACUUGCGUCCGGUGAAUCACCCAGCUCUCGCGGCUGGGGCACUUCGCCGGCUCAGGCCAGCAUCAGCUCGCUGUCGGGGACAAAAGCUUCAGGAACGUAGCUCUCUUCGGGGAGUGUUAUAGCCUGUUGCAUAAUACCCUUCGGCGGGCUGA
rnacentral:misc_RNA from 1 species